GACGAACGCUGGCGGCGUGCCUAAUACAUGCAAGUAGAACGCUGAAGAGAGGAGCUUGCUCUUCUUGGAUGAGUUGCGAACGGGUGAGUAACGCGUAGGUAACCUGCCGUGUAGCGGGGGAUAACUAUUGGAAACGAUAGCUAAUACCGCAUAACAAUGGAUGACACAUGUCAUUUAUUUGAAAGGGGCAAUUGCUCCACUACAAGAUGGACCUGCGUUGUAUUAGCUAGUAGGUGAGGUAAUGGCUCACCUAGGCGACGAUACAUAGCCGACCUGAGAGGGUGAUCGGCCACACUGGGACUGAGACACGGCCCAGACUCCUAAGGGAGGCAGCAGGAGGGAAUCUUCGGCAAUGGGGGCAACCCUGACCGAGCAACGCCGCGUGAGUGAAGAAGGGUUUCGGAUCGUAAAGCUCUGUUGUAAGUCAAGAACGGGUGUGAGAGUGGAAAGUUCACACUGUGACGGUAGCUUAACAGAAAGGGACGGCUAACUACGUG
rnacentral:rRNA from 1 species